rnacentral:rRNA from 1 species
UACGUAGGGUGCAAGCGUUGUCCGGAAUUAUUGGGCGUAAAGAGCUCGUAGGCGGUUUGUCGCGUCUGCUGUGAAAUCCCGAGGCUCAACCUCGGGCCUGCAGUGGGUACGGGCAGACUAGAGUGCGGUAGGGGAGAUUGGAAUUCCUGGUGUAGCGGUGGAAUGCGCAGAUAUCAGGAGGAACACCGAUGGCGAAGGCAGAUCUCUGGGCCGUAACUGACGCUGAGGAGCGAAAGUGUGGGGAGCGAACAGG